rnacentral:lncRNA from 10 species
GUGCGUGGCGUGGAGUCCAGAAUGAGAAGAAGGAAAGCGGGGCCGGUUCCUUCAGGACCCGCCUCAGGGGGCACCGCGGCGGCUUGGGGACCACUUGGAGCCCCGUCCUGGGGAGAAAACAGCUCACGUCUAUGGCCCUGACUGCUUAGGCGGGAGCUGCGUGCAGCUCAGCUUCUCCGGGGCAUUUUUUUCUACACGCUGGGUGAGCUAUGAACAGGCCAACUGCAAGGGCGAGCAGUUUGUGUUUGAGAAGGGCGAGUACGCCCACUGGGACUGGUGGACCAGCAGCCAGAGGACAGACUCAGCAGCCUGAGGCCCAUCAAAGUGGACAGCCAAGAGCACAAGAUCAUCCUCUAUGAAAACCCCAACUUCACCGGGAAGAAGAUGGAAAUCAUAGAUGACGAUGUACCCAGCUUCCACGCCCAUGGCUACCAGGAGAAGGUGUCAUCUGUGUGGGUGCGGAGUGGCAUGUGGGUUGGCUACUAGUACCCUGGCUACCGUGGGCUGCAGUACCUGCUGGAGAAGGGAGACUACAAGGACAGCAGCGACUUUGGGGCCCGUCACCCUCAGGGACAUGGAUGAAGCUGGAAACCAUCAUUCUCAGCAAACUAACACAGAAGCAGAAAACCAAACACCACAUGUUCUCACUCAUAAGUGGGAGUUGAACAGUGAGAACACAUGGACACAAGGAGGGGAACAUCACACACCGAGGCCUGUCAGGGAGUGGGGGACAAGAGGGAGAGAGAGCAUUGGGACAAAUACCAAAUGCAUGCACGGCUUAAAACCUAGAUGACAGGUUGAUGGGUGCAGCAAACCACCAUGGCACAUGUAUACCUGUGUAACAAACCUGCACGUUCUGCACAUGUAUCCCAGAACUUAUAAUAAAAAAGAAACCAGUAAGUGCUCAAUAAAUGUUACUAACAUCUAUUUCUUCAUUCAUUCUUCAACCAUUACCCACUGAGUGCCUAUUUGGAUACUUGGCUUAGUACCUGGGUGAUGAAAUAAUCUACAGCAAACCCCCAUGGCAUGAGUUUAUAACAAACCUGCACAUGUAUCCCCGAACUUAAAAGUUAAAAAAACAGAAUCUGCACAAGUCUAAGCUACUUCCUUGAGGAAAAGACUCGAGCUGAGAUCUCAAAGAAGAGUAGAAGUUGCAGGGGUAAAGAGGCCAAAGAAGAGUGUCUCAGAUGAGAGCGGCACGUGCAAAGGCCCUGUGGUGGGAGGAGCCUGGUAGCUCUGAGAAACUCCACAAAGGCACGGUGGUGGCUGGAAUGCAGAGAUGUGGGGGCACAUUGAAAACCUUGUUAAAGUGCUUAAAAUGAUUAUCAUAAAGGUAGAAACUAAUAAGUGCUAAAUAAAUGUUAUUCUCGUCCGUUUCUCCA